rnacentral:rRNA from 1 species
UGGGGAAUUUUGGACAAUGGGCGAAAGCCUGAUCCAGCAAUGCCGCGUGUGUGAAGAAGGCCUUCGGGUUGUAAAGCACUUUUGUCCGGAAAGAAAUCCUUGGCUCUAAUACAGUCGGGGGAUGACGGUACCGGAAGAAUAAGCACCGGCUAACUACGUGCCAGCAGCCGCGGUAAUACGUAGGGUGCAAGCGUUAAUCGGAAUUACUGGGCGUAAAGCGUGCGCAGGCGGUUUGCUAAGACCGAUGUGAAAUCCCCGGGCUCAACCUGGGAACUGCAUUGGUGACUGGCAGGCUAGAGUAUGGCAGAGGGGGGUAGAAUUCCACGUGUAGCAGUGAAAUGCGUAGAGAUGUGGAGGAAUACCGAUGGCGAAGGCAGCCCCCUGGGGCCAAUACUGACGCUCAUGCACGAAAGCGUGGGGGAGCAAACAGGAUUAGAUACCCUGGUAGUCCACGCCCUAAACGAUGUCAACUAGUUGUUGGGGGAUUCAUUUCCUUAGUAACGUAGCUAACGCGUGAAGUUGACCGCCUGGGGGAGUACGGUCGCAAGAUUAAAACUCAAAUGAAUUGACGGGGUCAUAGCUGUUUCCU